rnacentral:rRNA from 1 species
UACGGAGGGGGCUAGCGUUGUUCGGAAUUACUGGGCGUAAAGCGCGCGUAGGCGGACCUGCAAGUCGGGGGUGAAAGCCCCCGGCUCAACUGGGGAGGGUCACGCGAUACUGAUCGACUCGAAGGCAGGAGAGGGUAGUGGAAUUCCCGGUGUAGUGGUGAAAUGCGUAGAUAUCGGGAGGAACACCAGUGGCGAAGGCGACUACCUGGCCUGUUCUUGACGCUGAGGCGCGAAAGCUAGGGGAGUAAACGGG